rnacentral:lncRNA from 1 species
UGGAUAGCAGUAGGAGCAUCCUGUAUCAGCGAGCAGACACUCUUCUUCCUUCGCAUCGACACAUACCACCAUCCAUGCAAAUCUGAAUGCCUUUUGAGGCUAAAGAAGGAGAGGAAAAGUGCAAUGCUGGGAUUGAUCCCAGCCAACAUGCACGCUGCAAUGAAUCCACUGAUAUGUUGCCAAGAGUUUGGAACUAUAGAAUAGGGCGACAUCUCAAGGUGUUG